rnacentral:rRNA from 1 species
AGCGAACGCUAGCGGCGAGCUUAACACAUGCAAGUCGAGCGGAGGGUUUCGGCCCUCAGCGGCGGACGGGUGAGUAACACGUAGGUUACGUGCCCUUUGGUGGGGAAUAACUUAGGGAAACCUGAGCUAAUACCGCAUAUGCCCUUCGGGUGAAAGUCUUCGGACGCCAGAGGAUCGGCCUGCGGCCCAUUAUUUAAUCCUCGUUGGUGGGUAACGGCCUACCAAGGUACGAUGGUAGCUGGUCUGAGAGGAUGAUCAGCCACACUGGGACUGAGACACGGCCCAGACUCCUACGGGAGGCAGC